UGCACUAGGUACUCGAUCCCCUUCGUCACCUUUCUUGGGAUAAGCAUGACGGUUGCUGGAAUGCUCACUUCCGGUUUUGUACCCACCGUCCAGUACCUGUACCUGACAUAUGGCCUCGUUGUGGGGGUGGGGUGUUCCCUCUCCUAUACCGCCUGCAUACUUGUUGUCGGCCACUACUUUAAUACCAGACGAGGCAUUGCAAUUGGUGUUGCUGCAUCAGGGGUUGGAUUUGGAUGUUUUGCGUGGCCGCCAAUACUGCGUGCUUUAUUUGAAUAUUUUGGAUUUAGAGGAGCUUUCUUAUUAUUGGUGCCAUAUUCAGCAACGUUUACGUUUGUGGAAUGUUCUUCAUGCCUAUAAGUAAACGAAACCUAAGGACAAAGCCGCAUGAAGUAACCUCGGAUAAAGAUACGAACGAAACAACUGUAUCUCUGUUGCCACAACAGGAGAAGGGAAGUCAACAUUUGGCUGAAGCAGUAAGCUGCAAAACAGCACGAUGUUUUCACCGGACAAUACAACUGCAGAGACAGUACAUAUACCAACGUUUCAUUGAUACAACUGCAGAGACAGUACAUAUACCAACGUUUCAUUGAUUUAAGACUGUUUCGAAACUAUGCCUUCUUCACCGUGUGUGGACAAAUGGUGUUAUUUGCCCUUUCAUACAAUAUGACAUUUGUGUACCUACCAGCCUUGGCGAAGGACCAGGUCAUAUCGGAGAUAAAAGGAUCCUACUUGAUCUCAAUCACAGGAGUGUUUGACAUGAUUGCACGUAUAUCCAUGUCGGCAUUGCUAGACACUAAGCAUGUCAAACCGUAUCGAUUAAUAGCAUACAACAUGAUACUGUUUAUCAUCGCAGCUUUAACUGUUACCAUUCCGUCUCUUUAUAGUUUUGUGCAGUUUGCUGUCAUAUUUGCCAUGUUUGGUUUUGUUUCUGGAACGUAUAUAUCUCAAGUGGCACUGAUACUGGUGGACGUUUUGGGAAUCAGCAAUUUAGCGAGUGCAUUCGGUCUCAACCAGUUAUACUAUGGGCUUGGUAUGCUUCUUGGCCCAGUCAUCGGAGGAUUAAGAAGAGACUAUCUUGGUAAUUAAUACCUGUCGUUUUACUGCGGUUCUGCAUCGACAUUUGCAGCGGGUCUGCUGAUGAUGACAGGAAACAUUUGGCUGCGCAGGCGUGGGAACGGUUUAAAAUGGUUGUGUUUGAGCAGCAUUCUGCCAACGGCAUGAA